UACGUAGGGGGCAAGCGUUAUCCGGAUUUACUGGGUGUAAAGGGAGCGUAGACGGCAGAGCAAGUCUGAAGUGAAAGCCCGCGGCCCAACUGCGGGACUGCUUUGGAAACUGCCCGGCUAGAGUGCUGAAGAGGUAAGCGGAAUUCCUAGUGUAGCGGGGAAAUGCGUAGAUAUUAGGAGGAACACCAGUGGCGAAGGCGGCUUACUGGACAGUAACUGACGUUGAGGCUCGAAAGCGUGGGGAGCAAACAGG
rnacentral:rRNA from 1 species